rnacentral:rRNA from 1 species
GACGAACGCUGGCGGCGUGCUUAACACAUGCAAGUCGAACGGAAAGGCCCUGCUUUUGUGGGGUGCUCGAGUGGCGAACGGGUGAGUAACACGUGAGUAACCUGCCCUUGACUUUGGGAUAACUUCAGGAAACUGGGGCUAAUACCGGAUAGGAGCUCCUGCUGCAUGGUGGGGGUUGGAAAGUUUCGGCGGUUGGGGAUGGACUCGCGGCUUAUCAGCUUGUUGGUGGGGUAGUGGCUUACCAAGGCUUUGACGGGUAGCCGGCCUGAGAGGGUGACCGGCCACAUUGGGACUGAGAUACGGACCAGAAUGCUACGGGAGGCAGCAGUGGGGAAUAUUGCACAAUGGGCGGAAGCCUGAUGCAGCAACGCCGCGUGCGGGAUGACGGCCUUCGGGUUGUGAACCGCUUUCGCAUGUGACGAAGCGUGAGUGACGGUAAUGGGUAAAGAAGCACCGGCUAACUACGUG